ensembl:miRNA mir-266 ncRNA
UGUCUAAACUUGGGCAAAAGUUAGGCAAGACUUUGGCAAAGCUUGAAUCCAAGUUUUGCCAAAGUUUUGCCCAACUUUUGCCCAAAUUCAGCCA